AUGCCAUAAGGAUAUUGCUCCGAAAUUGAAAUGAUGCUUUUAUACGCAAUUCUGAGCUAAUG
rnacentral:snoRNA from 1 species